AAAGAGGGUUUCAUUUGGAAGAAUUGGGACCACUGAAACUUAGGGAGAUAUUCACAUCAAACAUCUGGGGAAAGUGAAAAUUGUAAUGGAUGCUAAAGAAACCAAGAUGUCAAGUAACAAUUGAAUAAGUUGAAGUUGUUAUGGGAUAUAGAUGAUCGAAGAAUCCGAAUUACCAGAAAAUGUAAAGGAGAUUCUUGAAGUGCUUCAACCUGAUACCCGAAAACUUGAGAGUCUAAAGGUGGUAGGAUAUAAAAAGGUACUCAUUUUUCACAAUGGAUGUCUAGUCCUUCUCUUAAAUAUUUAACUCAUUUAAGGUUGGAGAAUUGCGAAAGGUGUUUACAACUUCCAUUGUUGGAGAAACCGUCUUCUUUAAAGAAUCUAAACAUAUCUAAGAUGAUUAAUAUAAAAUACAUAUAUGAUGAGUGCUAUGAUGUUGGAGUGGUUUUUGUGGCUCUAGAAAUUUUGUCCAUCUACAGUUAGCCAAACCUAAUAAGGUUAUCUAGGGAAGAUGGGGAAAACAUCUUCCCAUACCUUUAUUUGCCUUGGAUUGUUGCAUGUCCUAAUUUUUUACCAGAAAAAGUCUUGGUGCAAGGGUUGCACUCUCUCAAGACAUAUUGUGGAAAGUGAUAAGUUCAAUGUGUCGGCAGGUUUUUAAUGCUUG
rnacentral:lncRNA from 1 species